rnacentral:tRNA from 1 species
GAAGAGGGGGCGGAUGUAGCCAAGCGGAUGAAGGCAGUGGAUU